rnacentral:rRNA from 1 species
UACGAAGGGGCUAGCGUUGCUCGGAAUCACUGGGCGUAAAGGGUGCGUAGGCGGGUCUUUAAGUCAGGGUGAAAUCCUGGAGCUCAACUCCAGACUGCCUUUGAUACUGAAGAUCUUGAGUUCGGGAGAGGUGAGUGGAACUGCGAGUGUAGAGGUGAAAUUGUAGAUAUUCGCAAGAACACCAGUGGCGAAGGCGGCUCACUGGCCCGAUACUGACGCUGAGGCACGAAAAGCGUGGGGGAGCAAACAGGG